UACGUAGGGGGCAAGCGUUGUCCGGAAUCAUUGGGCGUAAAGCGCGUGUAGGCGGCUCGGUAAGUCUGCUGUGAAAGUCCAGGGCUCAACCCUGGGAUGCCGGUGGAUACUGUCGAGCUCGAGUCCGGAAGAGGCGAGUGGAAUUCCUGGUGUAGCGGUGAAAUGCCCAGAUAUCAGGAGGAACACCAAUGGCGAAGGCAGCUCGCUGGGACGUGACUGACGCUGAGACGCGAAAGCGUGGGGAGCAAACAGG
rnacentral:rRNA from 1 species